rnacentral:rRNA from 1 species
CCUACGGGGCGCAGCAGUGAGGAAUAUUGGUCAAUGGCCGGGAGCCUGAACCAGCCAAGUCGCGUGAGGGAAGACGGCACUUCGUGUUGUAAACCUCUUUUGUCGGGGAACAAAGGCGGAGACGCGUCUCCGGAUGAGUGUACCCGAAGAAAAAGCAUCGGCUAACUCCGUGCCAGCAGCCGCGGUAAUACGGAGGAUGCGAGCGUUAUCCGGAUUUAUUGGGUUGAAAGGGUGCGCAGGCGGAGGACCAAGUCAGCGGUAAAAUGGCGGGGCUCAACCCCGCCCGGCCGUUGAAACUGGUUUUCUAGAGUUGGCGAGAAGUAGGCGGAAUGCGUGGUGUAGCGGUGAAAUGCAUAGAUAUCACGCAGAACUCCGAUUGCGAAGGCAGCAUACCGGCGCCAUACUGACGCUGAUGCACGAAAGCGUGGGUAUCGAACAGGAUUAGAUACCCGGGUAGUC